GACGAACGCUGGCGGCGUGCCUAAUACAUGCAAGUCGAACGCUGAAGAGAGGAGCUUGCUCUUCUUGGAUGAGUUGCGAACGGGUGAGUAACGCGUAGGUAACCUGCCUUGUAGCGGGGGAUAACUAUUGGAAACGAUAGCUAAUACCGCAUAACAAUGGAUGACACAUGUCAUUUAUUUGAAAGGGGCAAUUGCUCCACUACAAGAUGGACCUGCGUUGUAUUAGCUAGUAGGUGAGGUAAUGGCUCACCUAGGCGACGAUACAUAGCCGACCUGAGAGGGUGAUCGGCCACACUGGGACUGAGACACGGCCCAGACUCCUACGGGAGGCAGCAGUAGGGAAUCUUCGGCAAUGGGGGCAACCCUGACCGAGCAACGCCGCGUGAGUGAAGGAGGGUUUCGGAUCGUAAAGCUCUGUUGUAAGUCAAGAACGGGUGUGAGAGUGGAAAGUUCACACUGUGACGGUAGCUUACCAGAAAGGGACGGCUAACUACGUG
rnacentral:rRNA from 1 species